rnacentral:rRNA from 1 species
AGUGAACGCUGGCGGUAGGCCUAACACAUGCAAGUCGAACGGCAGCACAGUAAGAGCUUGCUCUUACGGGUGGCGAGUGGCGGACGGGUGAGGAAUACAUCGGAAUCUACUUUUUCGUGGGGGAUAACGUAGGGAAACUUACGCUAAUACCGCAUACGACCUACGGGUGAAAGCAGGGGAUCUUCGGACCUUGCGCGAUUGAAUGCGCCGAUGUCGGAUUAGCUAGUUGGCGGGGUAAAGGCCCACCAAGGCGACGAUCCGUAGCUGGUCUGAGAGGAUGAUCAGCCACACUGGAACUGAGACACGGUCCAGACUCCUACGGGAGGCAGCAGUGGGGAAUAUUAGACAAUGGGCGCAAGCCUGAUCCAGCCAUACCGCGUGGGUGAAGAAGGCCUUCGGGUUGUAAAGCCCUUUUGUUGGGAAAGAAAAGCAGCAGGUUAAUACCCCGCUGUCCUGACGGUACCCAAAGAAUAAGCACCGGCUAACUUCGUG